GCAGCUCUGCUGUCUGCAAAUCUCUCCGACUCCUCAGAGAGGCAUGGAUAAAAAGACAAAGACACAGCAUGCCCUGUGCUUCUUUAGGUGGUCUGAAAACUCAUGCAGGCAGCGGAUGGCAGCAGCAGCAGCAGCUGUAAAUCAGGACAGACAGUGCCAGGAAUGAGAGGAGAGGCUUAGUUCAGAUAAGGUUGACUCUGGCAGACUCGAGCCGCAGAGGUGGACAAUGCACCCGAAACAAGGUUGAAGUUGGGAGUUUUGGGUGCAGGGGCUAAUAGAUUUCCUUUCUCCCACAGCAGAGGACACUGGGUUUGUCUUUUGUGGAGAUAAAGUUCGCCGUGAUACAGCCCAGUCUCCCCAUUUGACUUACGAGUCCAACAGCUGCACAGUCAGAAAGCAACAUUUACACCCCUGCAGAAACUUCAGUCGACGAACAAUGUUCAGGAAGCGCUUUCAAACUGAAAUUCUACCUUCUACAGCUGUUGUCAUUAGCGCGUGAUACUUCAACUCUGACUGAAAGGAAACCGAUUAUGUACAGUGUAAAAACAUGAGUUGCUGGUUAUCUAAUAAAGAUUUCUUUUGCCUGUAGUUGUAAAAUUGGUGCCGGGGGGAAAUGAAAAGCUUAACAUUAAAGCCUCCCGCAAUAUAAUACAUAUGCAUAUCAUAACAUGUUUUGCAAGUCACCAAGGGACUUGCAGUCGCAUUAUCCUGCAUUUUAACUUGACACAAUGGCAACAUGCAGAAAGUAGAAAGACAUCUUUUUGCUUGUCUGCAUUUUGUUGUGUCGUGAUCUAAUGAUCUAAUGAUCCCUGGAUAGGCCUGGAUGGGCUUAAAUUAGCAUGCCGCUACCAAAGAUCGAAUAUAAGAUACUUACUGCUAAUGGGCCGUGCUAAUCUACGUAUGUUGGGUAAUGUUUAAUUAACUUAAGGUUAUGCAAACUUUUAUUUAUAUCUUUGGUCUUCAUUCAAAGUUUUACUUGUCGGACAUGAAAUAGCUAUAUGUAACUCUUGAGGUUUGGAUAGAGGGAAGUGCAUGAAUUGCACAUACGUCUGAUGAUACCAGGCAUGACCUGACACCAGCAUCACGAGACACUUUGCUAUGUUUCCAAGCUGCAGUUCCACAACACUUUGAAUGUUUCUAACAAACAAGCACAUCAGCAAAACAAAUUAUGCCCACAUGUGAGAGCAAUUGGUGAGACCAGUUCAGGGAAAUACAAGACCUGCAGUGUAAACAAGCGUCAGUGAAAGUCCGCUCAGCAAAGGGCCCGAUUGUCUUAUUCGCGACCGUAAAGAACUGAUUGUGUUUACUCAAGGGCCAGCAUGUAAGUAGAAAUGGUAUGUGGGGUUUUUGUUUUUUUAUAAGCUAAGAAUGAGCCCGUCGUAUCUACAAUUGGAGCACAUCCACCACGUUGCAUGACUAUAUUUCUACAGUAGCCCAGAAUAGACUAACUCAACAGUGCCUCUAUAGAAAUUCAUAUUUUUACUCUGAAAGGGCCAUUAAAGAUUCUCUCCUUUUUAACUGGGACGACAGGGGAAAACAAGCUAGUUUUAUAAGCUUUUACUAGGGAUGUUUGUCCUUUUUAGUCAAUGGGUCCUACAUCUGACACCUACAAUACCUAAUACCUACAUUUUCAUUUAUGGUCCCUAAAAGAUAAGACCGUCUGACUUUGGAGAUGCCGUUUCAUAAAAUUUUCCUUAUUGACUGAGAUAUAUAAAGAAAUAUAGGUAAAGCAUAAGAAAAUGUUUAUUGUUGAACAGAAAUGACUUUCUGAGAUGGUAUCUGCUGCAUGGAUUGACAUUGCAUUUGGUCUAGCUAUUCACAUUUGACUAAGGAUGACCCUCCACUUUUCAUUUUGCACAUCAACAGUUCAUCACUCAAAUAAAACAAAUCAAACGCUGUGGUACAUGACAAAGGAACUGGCAUCGCCAAAAGUCUCUGCUGUGUUUAACGCUUAUCGGUGAAUGUUAGCAUGCUUGCGUGCUAAACUAUCACAGUGAAUAAUGGCACAUGGGCAAGUUGCGAGAUCGACGGUGGACUGAAAUGCAGUUGUGAACGUGUGAAUGCAGUUUUGCAACUCUAGCAUAGAUGUGACUACUUCACACAUCGCCGAACAGUGGCCUCGAGUAGGCAAAUAUGAACUGCUAAGUUACUUGCUAAGAUAUUCAAAGGCACUACAAACUCAGUCCAUAAUCAAUCUCAACAAAAUCCAAACCUUAUUUAGUGCAAGACCACCGAAACAAUAUUAUAAAAGUGUUUCUGUUAUUUUGUCCAUCAGCUGCGUGCAUCAGCGUAAUAAAAAAAAAAGUCUGGAAGCCAGCAGUUCCAACACAAAUCGCAAUUUCUAUCAUUUGUGCUCUUGCCUGUCAUGUGCCUCCCUUAGCACAAGUGACUUAACUCACAUGCAAUUGGAUUCAAAUAACACGCUAUGAACUGUGCCAAAACACUGUUCACACUGACAAUUAAUCUCUUUCAUAGUGCCCCUCAGACGCGUGAGACUCUUCAGUCAGGACCUCAAGAUAUUUUCCGUGAUGAAACAAAGAAAUUAAAGAAAAUCGCUUAUUUUAGGAUGAUGAAAUCUUAUUUUUUUCACCAAAGACAAAUAACCUUUCAAGAGCCAAAUGCACUAGGUGAUUUAGCUUGUUUCAAGGUAAACGGUAUUGAUUUGGCUUAGUCAGCCUAUUUUCUAGCUGACUAAAGCGUGGGGUAGGAAUUUAAAACAUCUAGAAAUAAUUGCUUAUACAAUGUCAGGCUUAAAUCUAAGUAUUCUUUCUUUUUUCAAUUUAGUUUUUAACUUCAGUUCUGCAGGGCUGGAUUCUUUUUACCAUUUCUAUAUGAGGAGCUUUUGCAAUGAAAGUGUUUUUUUUUUUUUGUUUUGUUUUUUUUUCCCUCUCCCUGCAGCCACUUGUCACUAAAAGAAUUCAGCAAACACCGUGCUCCACGUCUGAAAGCAUUUCUACACGGGUUACACAGACUUCCUGUGCCCAGUCACGGCCAGACGAGACAAACAACAAGUGCUAAUCCCUCAUCACCAUGGAAACAAAAGCACGAUUCUUCCCUAACAGACACCUGACUGAUGGAUCGAGGUGAGCGAGGGCAAGGAGAGGCUCCUCCGCGCAAGUUCAGGUAGUAAUAACAAAACAUUUUCAGCAAAUAGAUAUUCACACAAAUCCUCAUUAGCUUCUUUUGGCGUUGUAUAAAAAGUUCGGAAAUUGCAAAAGGAACUCGGGGUCCAACUUUCUGACUCAAGUUGCUGUGUCACCCAAAGGUCAAAUUCUAGCUCCCCGCCUGCCUGAUAAUGCUCGAAUCUCAAAAACCUAAGCCCCAGUCCACCAUGACUCCCACCAGCAGGCAGACAAAUAGGGAAAACCCUGCAGGGUGGUGUGAAACUUGGCAGGCAAGAAAGAAGACGAACAGACAGACAGACAGCGUGUGAAUGACAGGGACGAGCGUGAAAGAGAGGCUACUCACUUGGACAUGAAAGCUCCACUCUCGCAGCGUAACCGAGCGGCCUCUGGAAACAGGAGCUCAGGGCUGUGAAGGACAUCUACCAGCACAGAAAAUUCUGCUUGAACUUUCGGACUGAACUGCUCCUCCAGAC